rnacentral:tRNA from 1 species
GCCGCGGUGGCCUAGUGGCUAAGGUUUUCGGCUGCUGACCCACAGGUCACGGGUUCGAAUCCCGGCUGCGGCA